rnacentral:rRNA from 1 species
UACGUAGGGUGCAAGCGUUGUCCGGAAUUAUUGGGCGUAAAGAGCUCGUAGGCGGUCUGUUACGUCGGCUGUGAAAACCUGGGGCUCAACCCCGGGCCUGCAGCCGAUACGGGCAGACUAGAAUUCGGUAGGGGGGACUGGAAUUCCUGGUGUAGCGGUGAAAUGCGCAGAUAUCAGGAGGAACACCGGUGGCGAAGGCGGGUCUCUGGGCCGAUAUUGACGCUGAGGAGCGAAAGCGUGGGGAGCGAACAGG